GGCCCUGUCGUCUAGCGGCCUAGGACGUCGGGUUCUCAUCCCGAAAAUCAUGGGUUCAAAUCCCAUCAGGGUCA
rnacentral:tRNA from 1 species